rnacentral:rRNA from 1 species
GAUGAACGCUGGCGGCGUGCCUAAUACAUGCAAGUCGAGCGAACGGACGAGAAGCUUGCUUCUCUGAUGUUAGCGGCGGACGGGUGAGUAACACGUGGAUAACCUACCUAUAAGACUGGGAUAACUUCGGGAAACCGGAGCUAAUACCGGAUAAUAUUAUGAACCGCAUGGUUCAAAAGUGAAAGACGGUCUUGCUGUCACUUAUAGAUGGAUCCGCGCUGCAUUAGUUAGUUGGUAAGGUAACGGCUUACCAAGGCAACGAUGCAUAGCCGACCUGAGAGGGUGAUCGGCCACACUGGAACUGAGACACGGUCCAGACUCCUACGGGAGGCAGCAGUAGGGAAUCUUCCGCAAUGGGCGAAAGCCUGACGGAGCAACGCCGCGUGAGUGAUGAAGGUCUUCGGAUCGUAAAACUCUGUUAUUAGGGAAGAACAUAUGUGUAAGUAACUGUGCACAUCUUGACGGUACCUAAUCAGAAAGCCACGGCUAACUACGCG